rnacentral:rRNA from 1 species
AUUGAACGCUGGCGGAAUGCUUUACACAUGCAAGUCGAACGGUAGAGGGGGCAACCCCUUGAGAGUGGCGAACGGGUGAGUAAUAUAUCGGAACGUGCCCAGUCGUGGGGGAUCACGUAGCGAAAGUUACGCUAAUACCGCAUACGAUCUAAGGAUGAAAGCGGGGGAUCGCAAGACCUCGCGCGACUGGAGCGGCCGAUAUCAGAUUAGGUAGUUGGUAGGGUAAAGGCCUACCAAGCCAACGAUCUGUAGCUGGUCUGAGAGGACGACCAGCCACACUGGAACUGAGACACGGUCCAGACUCCUACGGGAGGCAGCAGUGGGGAAUUUUGGACAAUGGGCGAAAGCCUGAUCCAGCCAUUCCGCGUGCAGGAUGAAGGCCCUCGGGUUGUAAACUGCUUUUGUACAGAACGAAAAGGUUUCUAUUAAUACUAGGAGCUCAUGACGGUACUGUAAGAAUAAGCACCGGCUAACUACGUG